ensembl:lncRNA
GGAUGGGGGUUCUUCAGUGUGCUCAUGGGAUGCUCCCAUCUGCCCUGGCUUCUGCAGAGCAGCUCUAGCUUAGGGACAUUUUCUACCAGUGCCACAUACUUUCCCUUCUGUAUAAAAUGGUCAGAGGGAUCAGCCCUUAGGACUCCCUAAUGCCUCAGUGAUAGAAACCCACCCUCCAAAAUUGCGCCCUCACCACUUUGAGAAUGUUGCGUUUAGAGAACAAUUGUCUUCACGUGUUCAACAUUGUCCUGUUAUUUAUGAGGUUUUCAACCACCUGGAAGCCAGGCAAAUACUGACCCAAGCUCGGAACUGUGCGCUGACCCAAGGACAAAAGAGUAUUCUCCAUAUGCAUUCCCUGGGCCUGUUGGUUGCCAAGAUGGGGACCCUUGAAAGUCCAGCGUGGCUUAGUCUUGAUUUCAAAGAGGCAAACGAAGAGUUCCGGCGGCCGGAAAGUCCAAGAUCACCGCGCCCGCAGCUUCGGCGUCUGGUCUCAUAUGGCUGAAAUCAAGAUGUUGGAUGGCUGUGUCAUCUUCAGGAGGUUUGACUGGGGAAAGACCCACUUCCAAGCCCAUUUAGAUUGUCAGUUUUGAGCAUGCAGAUGAGGGCAAUGCACUAGGAUGGGGUGAAGAAACAGAUUGGAAGGAACUGGGUUUCUGAAUGACCACAUGGAGCCAAGUUGCCUGCCAACCUGCUCUGCUGACUCCAGACUGUAACGUGAGAAAUAAGCCACUGAAUUAUUCCUGGCUCCCUGUGACAGCAGCCUAGGUUUUACCCCUGCUAAUACAUUUACCAAGUUAAGUAACCUCAUUGAGUGUCACUUUCGUUAUCUGUAAAGGGAGAAUAAUGUUGAUACAUCCCUUGGAAGGCUGUGGUGAUAAAUAUACAAGAUAAUCCAGACAAAGUGCUUGGUCCAGUGCCCUUCUCAUGGUAAUUUUUUAAAUAAGUGGUUUCUACUAGAAUGAAGAAUGAAGAUAAUUCCAUCUUUGGUUUGGAUGAUGGAUAUAGAGCUAGGAAAGCAGAUGGAGUUGGUGAACUGACAGAAAGACCUGAACUGAUUGAAACAGACUUGCCAUGAGUGGAACCCUAGUAUUCAUAUUUUUUAAAAGUUCCCCAGAUAGCUCUGGUGAGUACCUUGGUUUGGAUACACGUACUUUAUAUUGGCUCUGUAUGUCAUAUAGUAUUCCGUUAAUUAAAUGCCUUAAUGCUUUCCUUUGAGAGAAAGAUCAAUCUAGAAUUCCUGAUAUUCCCAUAAGUGCUAGAAAAGGGAAGUAUAAUAGGCCAAAUUAGUCAUAUUCAAUGAAACACAUUUCUUGUUGAUACUGAUGUCGAAAACAAACAAACAAAAAAACUGCAUGAGAGACUUCUAUUUGGGGCGGUAUUAUCAUCUACAUUCUCCAAAGAUUCUUCUUAUUAGAUCCUGCAGAAGACUUGAGUUUUCUGGCACUUCUGGGCUCAGGAGAUAAGGGAAAUCUUCAAGCCCAUAAAUCCAACCCAAGCAAACAAAGCUGUGAGCUGAAACUUGGGAGGUGCGUUGCGAGCAGACACGUGGAGUGAGGCUGCCUUACAUGCUAAAUCAGCACCGAGACAAGGAGACCGACUCCUGAGUCUGCUUACAGUUGAGGGGAUGAACCUGAGGCUCCAGGUGAAGCUGGAGAUCCUGAAGGGAGCCAAAUCGGUCCCAGAUCAGUGGUGUCCUUGGGCUAUUGGCUGAAGCAAAUGUGAAUCAUCUCUGGAGGAGAGCAUGCCCCACAUAAGGGCCUAGGAGUUCAAGGGAUAAAGAUAAACCAAAUAUGAGCUGAUAAGUGAAGACCAACAAACACACAAGGGAACACGCCCUCACAAGUGAAGAAAGAAACCCAAAGGACAUCAGAUACUGCAGUUCUCAUUUUCCAAACAGCAUAACUCUGUAGACAGUUUUUUUUAAAAAAAAACAGACUUAUUGAGAUAUACUUCACAUACUGUACAAUUUACCCUUUUAACCCAUUUAAAGUGAGCAAGUCAAUGGUUUUUAGUAUAUUCACAGAUAUGUGCAAGCAUCACCAGAGUCAAUUUUAGAACAUUUUCAUCACCUCAAAAAAAAAAUUCCAUAUCCUUUAGCUGUCAUCACUGUCUCCUGUUUCCUGCCCCCCCCCUAGUUUAGGCAACCACUGGUCUAGUUUCCAUCUCUAGAGACCUCCCUAUUCUGGACUUUCAUAUGAAUGAAAUCAUAGAGUGUAUGGUCUUUUGUGACUGGCUUCUUUCACUCAGCAUAAUGUUUUCAAGGUUCAUCUACAUUGUAGUAUAUCAGUAUGUCUUUCCUUUUUGUCUCUGAAUAAUAUUCUGUACAUUUCGUUGUAUGACUAUACCAGAUUUUGUUUAUCCAUUUAUCCAUUGAUAGACAUUUGAGUUGUUCCCACAUUUUGGUUAUUACAAAUAAUGCUGCUAUAAACAAUCAUGUACAAAUGUCUGUGUUUUCACUUUUGUUGGGUAUUUACUGAAGAAUGAAAUUGCUGGGUUAUAUGGUAACCAUGUGUUUAAUCAUUUGAGGAACUGCCGGGCUGUUUUCCAAAGUGGCUGCGCUAUUCUACAGCCUCAACAGCAGGAGGGCUCUGAUUCCUCCACGUCCUGGCCUUGUUAUCUGACAUUUUGAUUCCAGCCAUCCUGGUGGGUAUGCAGUGGUAACUCAUUGUGGUUUUGAUUUGCAUCUCCCUCAAGAUGGCAAGCAUCUCUUCGUGGGUUUGGAUGCCAUCUGCAUAUCUUCUUUGGAGGAGAAACUGACGUAAACAUGGAGUGAGCUGGUGCAUACUUAGAUCAGGAACUUCUCGGAGGAUCUUUCGUAAGACUGGGAGGAUGGGUGUUCCACUCCCUCCAAUUAUUUGAAGUUUUAGUCCUUCUGAGGCAUUUCAAUUAGUUAAAUCUGAUCUGUAAUUACCUCAGUUCUUCUUUGAGAAAAGGAGAACACUGAGGAGGCUGCCAAAUUGACUGUACAUCUGGGAGCUCUCCAUUGAGAAGUCCAGAGAGGCUCUGCUGUGGUCAACCUCACGCUUACCUUGAAAGGAUUUGCAGUUCCGAGCUCUUGGAAGGGUCCAGGUUCCUAUCUGCAUUAAGCUACAGAGAAGGGGAGAAACAUUUUC